rnacentral:lncRNA from 1 species
AUGGUGUUUCCCCCCUCCCUCCCCGAGUGGUUAAAAAGGCUACACCCUGUGGCAGCACUUUAUCCCAGGUGUCUGUCUAGUUUCCCCGCAUGCAAGCGCAUCAGAGGCCCAUUCCUGGGCCAUUCUCCAGUCAUGUGUUUCCUCUUCAUUCCCCUAGGUCUCCCGCACAGAGUCAAGGCAGCUUCCUCGACUUUCACCUGCCUGCACUGCCGGGCCACUGCUGCUUCUCCCCUCGGCCCAACUGGGCUUCGGAAGUCGCGGCGUAACCCUAACCAACCCCGGCCAGAAGGCGGAGAAGGUGUCCUGGCAACAAGACCAGGUGGGAGGUCGGCCCUUCAGGCAAUUACCUGGGUCACCGUGAGCAGCGCCAACUGCGGAAGCCUCGGAGCGACCAGGCAGAGAGAGAGGGGAAAACAAGCAAGCCCGGUUCGCCUGCGGCGGCAGCAAAUGGCAGGCGAGCCUGAGCCGCGCACUGGAGCCGGGCCGGCGGCGGUGUCAGCCCGCGGACCCGGGCGCGGGGCUCCGGGGCACCGCCUCCGACCUCCGCCCCCGCCCCAGCCCACCCCCAUCCCCGUGCCCAGCCUCGUACCUCCUCCUCAAGGUCGCGGCCCGAGGCGCCUGCUUCCCGGCGGCUGGGUGCGGCGGUGUCAGCGCGCGGCCAGCUUCAUCACCUCCGCGCGGGCACAGGGCUCUGACGGCCCGCGCUCCACCGCUCCCUCCUUCGCUUGGCUCCCGGGCUCCCGGACCACGAGCGCGCGCGGGACCGAGACGCCCGGCCCGUGCGCGCGACUGGGGAGGGAGGAGGGGACUGUCACGUGGGACCCGGCGUCCCUAGGUGCCGGCUCGGGGAGGGGAGCCGGGCGGGGUUCGGGGGGCUCGGCUCCGCGCGGCCUCGCUGCCCCGUCUCCUCUGCCGCCCCACCGUCUCGGGCAGGGAAAGUGGCCGCCCUGCCCCCAGGCGCGUGCAACCCGGGCCCUUGCACACCCGGCUCGCCGGUGUGCGCGCCGCUGA